AGUGGCGGACGGGUGAGUAACGCGUAGGAAUCUGCCCUUUAGCCUGGGAUAACUUGAGGAAACUCGAGCUAAUACGGGAUAAGCCUUACGAGGUAAAGAUUGCUUUGGCAGCCGCUAAAGGAUGAGCCUGCGUUAGAUUAGCUAGUAGGUUGGGUAAAGGCUGACCUAGGCGAUGACCUAUAGCUGUUCUGAGAGGAAGAUCAGCCACACUGGGACUGAGACACGGCCCAGACUCCUAUGGGAGGCAGCAGUGGGGAAUCUUGGACAAUGGGGACAACCCUGAUCCAGCGAUGCCGCGUGUGUGAAGAAGGCCUUAGGGUUGUAAAGCACUUUAGUUGGGGAGGAGGAUUUGAUGCUGAAUAGGCAUUGAUGAAGACGUUACCCGAAGAAUAAGCACCGGCUAACUCUGUGCCAGCAGCCGCGGUAAUACAGAGGGUGCGAGCGUUAAUCGGAAUUAUUGGGCGUAAAGAGCGCGUAGGUGGAUGAAUAAGUGGUCUGUGAAAGACCCGGGCUUAACCUGGGGGUGUCAGAUCAUACUGUUUAUCUAGAGUUCAGUAGAGGAAAGUGGAAUUCCCGGUGUAGCGGUGAAAUGCGUAGAUAUCGGGAGGAACAUCAGUGGCGAAGGCGGCUUUCUGGACUGAUACUGACACUGAGGCGCGAAAGCGUGGGUAGCGAACAGGAUUAGAUACCCUGGUAGUCC
rnacentral:rRNA from 1 species